AUACGGAAGGUCCGGGCGUUAUCCGGAUUUAUUGGGUUUAAAGGGAGCGCAGGCGGAGAUGCAAGCGUGACGUCAAAUUUCGGGGCUCAACCCCGUCUCGCGUCGCGAACUGCGUCCCUUGGUUGCGGGAAGGGGAGGCGGAACUCGUGGAGUAGCGGUGAAAAGCAUAGAUAUCACGAGGAACUCCGAUCGCGAAGGCAGCCUUCCGGCCCGUCAACGACGCUCAUGCUCGAAGGUGCGGGUAUCAAACAGGAUUAGAUACCCUGGUAGUCCGCACAGUAAACGAUGGACACCCGCGGUUUGGCCUGUAUGGCUGAGCCGCCAAGCGAAAGCGUUAAGUGUCCCACCUGGGGAGUACGCCGGCAACGGUGAAACUCAAAUGAAUUGGCGGGG
rnacentral:rRNA from 1 species